UACGGAGGGAGCUAGCGUUGUUCGGAAUUACUGGGCGUAAAGCGCACGUAGGCGGACAUUUAAGUUGGAGGUGAAAUCCUGGAGCUCAACUCCAGAACUGCCUUCGAUACUGAGAGUCUCGAGUCCGGGAGAGGUGAGUGGAACUGCGAGUGUAGAGGUGAAAUUCGUAGAUAUUCGCAAGAACACCAGUGGCGAAGGCGGCUCACUGGCCCGGUACUGACGCUGAGGUGCGAAAGCGUGGGGAGCAAACAGG
rnacentral:rRNA from 1 species